UACGAAGGGGGCAUAGCGUUGUUCGGAAUUGACUAGGGCGUAAAGCGCGCGCAGGCGGUCUUCCAAGUCAGUGGUAGAAAGCCUGGGAGCUCAAACCUCCCAGAACUGCCAUUGAAACUGUUAGACUUGAGUACGAGAGGAGGUGAGUCGGAAUUCCCAGUGUAGAGGUGAAAUUCGUAGAUAUUGGGAAGAACACCAGUGGCGAAGGCGGCUAUCUGGACCGUAACUGACGCUGAGGCGCGAAAGCGUGGGGAGCAAACAGG
rnacentral:rRNA from 1 species